UACGGAGGGUGCGAGCGUUGUCCGGAAUCACUGGGCGUAAAGGCGCGUAGGCGGCCUGAUAAGUAGGGGGGUGAAAUCCUGCGGCUUAACCGCAGGGCUGCCUUCUAAACUGUCAGGCUCGAGCACAGUAGAGGCAGGUGGAAUUCCCGGUGUAGCGGUGGAAUGCGUAGAGAUCGGGAAGAACAUCGGUGGCGAAGGCGGCCUGCUGGGCUGUUGCUGACGCUGAGGCGCGACAGCGUGGGGAGCAAACAGG
rnacentral:rRNA from 1 species